GGGGGACAAAUCAUAUUUUUCCCAUAAUGGGGGGGUCGUGUCCCCCCCGUCCCCCCCGGGAUUUCCGCCCCUGAGUAGUAGUAGUAGUAGUAGUAGCGGUUCUAGACCAUUUCAAUUGGGGGGGCCAAGCUGGGGCCAGUUGUACUGUUAGAGGGACCAGUUACAUUAGACGUUAUUGUUCUUCACUGCAUUGUAGGCAUUAGCAGGCAAAAUACCAUGUUCAUAAUCAUCAUCGUUGCCACUGUCUAAUAACGGAUGUAAAAAAGAACGAUAGCAAAAAUUAGUUAUGUUAAAAUUAUUGUGGCCCCCCCUCCCCCCCUGCGUGACCUGAGCGCGUCUGGUGUGGGUGGACAAAAAAGCACGAGUGCGGAUCGGGUACUGGCUAGAGGCGGAGAGGGUAGUAAGUAGGGCUGCACGCACCAGUAGAUAACAGUAGCCAGAAAAUACUGGGCCGGUACCAAAGGAUACAACCGCCAGGUUGGAUUCGAAUAAAAGGUAGGUAUGAUAACACACUCUAUCAUUCAUCAGUAUUAAUGCCUGACAUGAGAAAAAUGUCACCACCCCAGCUAUAGAAUGAUCUUUACAUUGAAUAAUCUAACGUAUAUGUGUAUGUAUACAUGUAUGUGUGAUUAAAACCAAAGUUAACCCAUGAAACUGGUAUACUUUUGUCUCUAUUCCACUGGAUGGCCGAUGUGAUGAGUUGUCUGUUCUGGCCAACAGUGUAAUCCUCCUCUGCCUGUUUGUGUGAAUACAUCUCACUGUUUCUCUCAGUUGCAAUGAAGGACAUGUGUUUCCGGUGUAAUGACACAAAGUGCCCAGAGGUGACGAAAUGUUUUGAUCAUAAUGAUGACCUGAACCAGAAUCUGCUGAUGGUGCCAGGUCCUUUCCAGCAAUGCACAUCCACCCCCUAUCCUCCUUCUGGGAGGUGCACCAUGUGUAGUCUGGAUUAUUAUUACACUGUGUGCAGAAACGUCUCAGAGAGCUUCCAGCCUGCCCUGGAGGCCAACAGCACAGCCAUUACCAACUAUGAACAAGCCAAUUGCCUUGUCAUCGGCAUCGCACCAACUACUGUGAAUGGUUCAGACUUCACUGGAGCUGCUGCUCAAUAUGGACAUCCUGGGUGGUGGUGUUUACUUAUCCCUGUCCUGGUCGUUGUUUGCAUUGGCAUCAUUACUUACAGGUGUAUCAAGAAGCGCAAAAUAAAAAACUAUGUCAUAUAAGGCACUCAGGACUACCCAUCCCUUAACCAAGCUAUUUGGACCCAACCCCCAGAGAAAGUGACAGGGACAGCACUCAGGACUACCCAAACCCCCAGAUCAGGAUGCUGCUGCGUUAUCUCUGCCUUAAUUCCAUCACUUUAACUCUUCUUCUUAAAGUUGUAAUCUUUUAAUACGUUUUCAUAUUCAUAUUCUUGUAAAUCAGUACCGUUAAACCAGUGCCUUGGAUAAUUUUUGGUCCUCUAAUACUGACACCAGCCGGCUAAAGCCUACUCUUAUUCUUAGGAAUAAGUAUGGAAAUACAAAUGUUUUACCCAUGACGCAUCUACCAGGGUAUUUUGAAUGGGGCAAAAAAGGAAAAUAUGUCCAGUUAUUAAUCAAGCAGAGAUAAGCUUAUUCAAAAGUUGAUGCACUUUAACCCACCAAUGAAUUAUAAUUUACACAUGUUCUAUAACACCCAUUCCACCUUUGAAACUUCAUAUGAGUCUGGUCUGCACAUGGCUGAGGGAGGAAUGUAGUGAUUUAUAAUACAAGUUAUUACCAUCAAGAUGAUGGUACAGGACCCCACUACUGAAAAUCAACCUGGGUUCAUAAAUGAUUUGUGCCAUCCAUCUCCCUAAUGAAAAGGAUUUAUCCUAGCCUUCACCACCACUGUACUGUAUGUAAAAGCAUUAUGUUGUACUGUGCUAUUUGUCUAUGUCAGUACUGUAUUUCUAAUGCUAGUGUUUGUGAAAUGCAGUAAGUCUAUUUACAAGUAUAUUUAUGCUGUAAAGCAGGGUUUCCCAAAGUCAUUUAAAUUGGUUAUUUGAAUCAGCUGUGUAGUGCUAGGGCAAAAAAGAUAUAUGGACCCAGGGUGGGCCCCACAACUGAGUUUGGGAAACCCUGCUGUACAUUAUGAGGCUGUAAUACUCUAUUCUAUACCAGUACUCAAGUGUUGGAGAAAAGCAUCAUGAAAUAUUUACUUCUCUUUCUCAAAUAAAUCUUUAUAUAAAUGAAUUUAUAUUGUGUUGCAUUUAUUGCCACCUUUCUGGUGUCACACAUUUAUCUGGGUAUAUACAUUUUUCAGCAUGUGUGAUACUCUACUUCCAAUGAAACAAUGAGGAUCUAUGAACACCAGUGAAAUGGUUUAUUACACAUUCCCUAGAACAGUGGUUCCCAACCAGGUGUACUAGGACCCCCGGGAUUACUUGGUCUGUCCACAGGGGGUACUUGGUCUGUCCACAGGGAGUACUUGGUCUGUCCACAGGGAGUACUUGGUCUGUCCACAGGGAGUACUUGGUCUGUCCACAGGGGGUACUUGGUCUGUCCACAGGGAGUACUUGGUCUGUCCACAGGGAGUACUUGGUCUGUCCACAGGGGGUACUUGAGAACACACAUGAGAACAUAGGCCUACUGGUAAAAUGCAGAUGAGUGGGUACUUCAGAUGUACUCCGGGCAGAGCAACAUUCAGUUGGUGGUACAGUACCUGAAAAAGGUGGAGAACCACUGCCCUAAAGGACUACAUUUCUCCUUCAUAGACCUGCGUGUCAGGGCAUGGAUUUACAUUAUUCAGUGGUCUGAAUAAUAUGAAUCCAGGUCUGUUGGCCUGGUAAACUUGACUUUUCAAGUGCUUUGCAUCCUCAGACCUGAUACUAAAUGACUAUGAAUGAUGUGACAGAACACAAUAGUUACAGUAACAACAUUAAUGCCAUUUUCUGUAGUAUUAACUAAGUGACUCCAACUUCAACUCAUGAUUGAAAUCGGAUGCUAAGCCACUAAGGGCAGUUUACCAGGCCAACAGACCACAAAUGGCAUGGAAGGUAAGCCACAGCCUUCCCCCUCUGUGAUCCAAAUCCUCAGUGAAUUUCAGAAAUAAAAAAACGGUGAAACAUCUAAAAAGUUAUCCUUUCAAGAUAAAACUAUAUUAAAUAUAUUAGCUUCAGGGGGAAGCUGCUUCCACCAUUGAGGUGCCAGGACAGAGAAGAGCGUUGACUGGGCUGAGCGGGAGCUGCCCUCCUGUAGGGGUGGGAGGGUCAAGAGACCUGAGGUGGCAGAACGGAGUGCUUGGGUUGGGGUGUAAGGUUUGAGCAUAGCCUGAAGGUAGGGAGGGACAGUUCCUCUUGCUGUUCCGUAGGUAAGCACCAUGGUCUUGUAGUGGAUGCGAGCUUUGACUGCAAGCCAAUGGAGAGAGCGGAGGAGCAGGGUGACAUGAGAGAACCUGGGAAGGUUGAAAACCAGGCGUGCAGCAGCGUUCUGGAUAAAUUACAGGGGUUUGAUGGCACAAGCAGGGAGCCCAGCCAACAGCGAGUUGUAGUAGUCUAGAUGGGAGAAGACAAGUGCCUGGAUUAGGACCUGUGCCGCUUCCUGCGUAAGGUGGGGUCGUACUCCACGAAUGAUGUAGAGCAUGCACCUGCAGGAGCGGGUCACUGCUUUGAUGUUUGCAGAGAAUGACAUGGUGUUGUCCAGGGUCACGCCAAGGUUCUUUGCACUCUGGAUGGGCGACACUGUGGAGUUGUCAACCGUGAUGGAGAGGUCUUUGAGCAGGCAGGCCUUCCCCUGGAGGAAGAGCAGUUCCGUCUUGUUGAGCUUGAGGUGGUGGGCCGACAUUCAAGUUGAGAUAUCUGCCAGGCAUACAGAGAUGAGUGUCGCCACCUGGGUGUCAAAAGGGGGAAGGAGAAAAGUAGUUGAGUGUCAUCCGCAUAGCAAUGAUAGGAGAGAUCAUGUGAGGAUAUGACGGACACAAGUGACUUGGUGUAUAAAGAGAAAAGGAGAGGGCCUAGAACCGAGCCCUGGGGGACACCAGUAGUGAGAGUACGUGGUGCAGACACAGAUUCUCUCCACGUCACCUGGUAGGAGCGGCCUGCCAGGUAGGAUGCAAUCCAAGAUCAAUCAAUCAAUCAAAUGUAUUUUUAUAUAGCCCUUCGUACAUCAGCUGAUAUCUCAAAGUGCUGUACAGAAACCCAGCCUAAAACCCCAAACAGCAAGCAAAGCAUGUGAAAGAAGCACGGUGGCUAGGAAAAACUCCCUAGGAAAAACUCCCUAGAAAGGCCAAAAACCUAGGAAGAAACCUAGAGAGGAACCAGGCUAUGAGGGGUGGCCAGUCCUCUUCUGGCUGUGCAGGGUGGAUAUUAUAACAGAACAUGGUCAAGAUGUUAAAAUGUUAAAAUGUUCAUAAAUGACCAGCAUGGUCAAAUAAUAAUAAUCAUAGUAGUUGUCGAGGGUGCAACAAGCACGUCCGGUGAACAGGUCAGGGUUCCAUAGCCGCAGGCAGAACAGUUGAAACUGGAGCAGCAGCACGGCCAGGUGGACUGGGGACAGCAAGGAGUCAUCAUACCAGGUAGUCCUGAGGCAUGGUCCUAGGGCUCAGGUCCUCCGAGAGAAAGACAGAAAGAGAGAAAGAGAGAAUUAGAGAGAGCAUAUUUAAAUUCACACAGGACACCGGAUAAGACAAGAGAAAUACUCCAGAUGUAACAGACUGACCCUAGCCCCCCGACACAUAAACUACUGCAGCAUAAAUACUGGAGGCUGAGACAGGAGGGAUCAGAAGACACUGUGGCCCCAUCCGAUGAUACCCCCGGACAGGGCCAAACAGGCAGGAUAUAACCCCACCCACUUUGCCAAAGCACAGCCCCCACACCACUAGAGGGAUGUCUCCAACCACCAACUUACCGUCCUAAGACAAGGCCGAGUAUAGCCCACAACGAUCUCCGCCAUGGCACAACCCAAGGGGGGGGGGCGCCAACCCAGAGCGGAGUGUGUUGAGUGUGUUGAGCCUGAGAAGCCCAGCCCUGAGAGGGUGGAGAGGAGGAUCUGAUGAUUCACGGUGUCGAAGGCAGCGGAUAGAUCUAAGAAGAUGAAAACAGAGGAGAGAGAGUCAGCUUUGGCAGUGCGGAGAGCCUCCGUGUCCCAGAGAAGAGCAGUCUCGGUCUUGACUCAAAGAGAGAAAAAGACAAUAGUUGAACAGUUUUGACAUUUCUCCAAAAUGGAGAAACAAUAGAGAGAGAGAGAGAGAGAGAGAGAGAGAGCUAGCUACUGUAUAUUUCAUAGUAUAUAUUUUUUUCACUUUCACUUAUUUAGCUAGCUUCGAAUGCAGCUAGCUAGUUUAACCUACUCAAAUUCCCGGCUUAAACAGAGAGGGAUGCUAUAUUAGCUAG
rnacentral:lncRNA from 8 species